ensembl:snRNA U1 U1 spliceosomal RNA
UAACUUACCUGGCAGGGCAGAUACCAUAUUCACGAAGGUGGUUUUCCCAGGACAAGGCUUAUCCAUCGCAAUCCGGUUGUGCUGACCCCUGUGAUUUUCCCCAAAUGUGUGAGACUGACUGCAUAAUUUGUGGCAGUGGGGUACUGCGUUGGCGCUCUCCCCUG